GUCAUACAAUGUAAAAAUAAGAAAAAGUGAUUUGUCCCUGAUUUCAGUGCAAGAGUUUUCCAUUCAGAUUUCUUGUUUUCUCUUUAUGUGGCUAAUGGAUUGUUUCAUAUUUUGAUUCCUAUUUGGAUCAUUCCAUUGAGUUUUUAUAAAAAGGCGUGAAGGGCAAGGAGCCCAGUUUGGCUCCAAGAAAGGGAGAAAAAUAGAAAAGGUGGAAAUUUAUGGCAGUGGUGAUUGCUCAGACCCUGCUGCACACAGCAAUCCCUUCAAGCCAAAAGAAGCCAGAAGAUCUGUAGGACCCAUUUUUCAUCUGGGCACACAGGGAUCACUUUACUUCCCACAGUCCUUUUCUUUAAACAUGGCCAGACUUACUUUGUUUAAUGAGGUUUGGGGCUGUUGCUUUUUCCUCUCUUUAAUUUGCAAGAUAAAUAUUUAUUUGCAGUCACUCCCAAACUGGCACAGCUUGAAAAAUCAUUUCAGCUGAAGGCUGGGCAUUCGUGUUGCUACCAAUCUGCCUGGGCGAAGGGAAAAAAGGGCCCGUAGCUCCUCAGAGUAAUGAGUUUGACUAGGUUGAAUAACUCUAAUGAUAUCUUGUCUCUCCCUGAGGCCCAUCAGAAACUUCCUGGCGUGGGAAAUGUUUUAAAGACUACUAAAAGCUUUGCACAUACAGUGACAGUGGAAAUGUGGGGCCCAUUUGGAUGAAGAGUUAGAAUUGGACCCCCCAGGGCUGCUUCUCCUGGGUUGGCCUCCCCCAGGUUCUGCCAGUGCCAGAGUGCCAGAGGCAUUGCGACUUUGGGUCAGCAACUGCCUAGAGCCCCAAACGGUGUAAAGGACAUACUAAUUCAAAGCAAAAGGCACUUAGUCAAACAGAAAUAGAAGUGAUU
rnacentral:lncRNA from 1 species